rnacentral:rRNA from 1 species
UACCAGCACCCCGAGUGGUCGGGACGUUUAUUGGGCCUAAAGCAUCCGUAGCCGGUUCUACAAGUCUUCCGUUAAAUCCAACUGCUUAACAGGUGGGCUGCGGAAGAUACUAUAGAGCUAGGAGGCGGGAGAGGCAAGCGGUACUCGAUGGGUGAGGGUAAAAUCCGUUGAUCCAUUGAAGACCACCAGUGGCGAAGGCGGCUUGCCAGAACGCGCUCGACGGUGAGGGAUGAAAGCUGGGGGAGCAAACCGGAUUAGAACGGACCUGGACGUCCAAGAC